rnacentral:lncRNA from 1 species
GUGAGCUCCCAUAUUCCUCAAAAUUAUUCUACCCAGAUGGAGGCUGACGUCCACCACCUGGUCAGGUUGCGGCUGCAGGGGCCUCUACACUUACCUGUCUCUGGGCUUCUAUUUCGACAGUCACGACGUGGCUCUGGAGGAUGUCGGGCACUUUUCCCGCCAAUCAACUGAGGGGGAAGCGCCAGGACGCCCAAAGACUUUUGAAAAUGCAAAACCGGCGCGACUACGGCCCUCUUCCAGGUCAAGCAGAAGCCGUCUCAAGACGAGUGUGGAAAAACCCAGGACGCUCUGAAAGCUGCCGUUCUCAGGCAGAAGACCCUGAACCAGGCCGUUUUGGAUCUGCAUGGCCUGGCUUCCCCCGCCAGGCCCCCACCGCGGUGACUUCCUGGAAAGCUCGUCCUACCUAAGCAGGGAUGGCGACCACCUGAGGAACCUUCACAGGCUGGCUGGUCCCCAGGCAGGCCUGGGCGAGUACCGCUUUGAAAGGCUUACCCUCAAGCACCGA